rnacentral:rRNA from 1 species
UCGCACGAGAAAGUGGAGCAAUCCAUGAGUACAGUGGCGUACGGGUGAGUAACACGUGGGUAAUCUACCUCUUAGUGGGGAAUAACCCUGGGAAACCGGGGCUAAUACCGCAUAAUCUCGAGAGAGGAAAGCAGCAAUGCGCUGAGAGAGGAGCCCGCGGCCGAUUAGCUUGUUGGCAGGGUAAAAGCCUACCAAGGCAUAGAUCGGUAGCCGGCCUGAGAGGGCACACGGCCACACUGGCACUGAAACACGGGCCAGACUCCUACGGGAGGCAGCAGUGGGGAAUCUUGCACAAUGGGGGCAACCCUGAUGCAGCGACGCCGCGUGAGCGAUGAAGCCCUUCGGGGUGUAAAGCUCUUUCGUCAGGGAAGAUUAUGACGGUACCUGGAGAAGCAGCUGCGGCUAACUACGUGCCAGCAGCCGCGGUAAUACGUAGGCAGCGAGCGUUGUUCGGAGUUACUGGGCGUAAAGGGUGUGUAGGCGGUUGUUUAAGUUUGGUGUGAAAUCUCCCGGCUCAACUGGGAGGGUGCGCCGAAUACUGAAUGACUCGAGUGCGGGAGAGGAGAGUGGAAUUCCUGGUGUAGCGGUGAAAUGCGUAGAUAUCAGGAGGAACACCGGCGGUGUAGACGGCUCUCUGGACCGUAACUGACGCUGAGACACGAAAGCGUGGGUAGCAAACAGGAUUAGAUACCCUGGUAGUCCACGCCCUAAACGAUGCAUAUUUGGUGUGGGUCAUUCAGUUGAUCCGUGCCGGAGCUAACGCGUUAAAUAUGCCGCCUGGGGAGUACAGUC